rnacentral:SRP_RNA from 1 species
GCUGGGCGUGGUGGCUCACGCCUGUAAUCCCAGCACUUUGGGAGGCUGAGAGGGGUGGUUCACUUGAGGUCAGGAGUUUGAGACCAGCCUGGCCAACAUGGUGAAACCCCAUCUCUA